CUUGAGUUAAAACCUAACUCUUUGGCCUUUUUCUCAUCCUUUAUUUUGAAAAACUUGUGUAGGGCCAAUCGUCUGCCAAACAAAUUAACAUCUUUAAUCCAUUCAAAAUGAUUGAAUGGAGGGAUUGGAACAAAGGAAAGGCCUCUCAUCAAAACUUUUAUCUGUACCGAAGUAAGAGUAACAUCUGACAGAUUUACCACUCUAAUAUCUUUACUUGAUAUCGUCUGCGUGCCCUUCCCCUGUUCCGGGUUUGUCUGUGAGUUUGUGUUUCCCCCUCUCGGGGGGUUUGCCCUAAAAAAGGAAAAGAUACACCCUUUUUAAGGAUUCC